UUUCUCUAAUUCACUGUUUUCCAGUACUGGUUAUUUUUUUAACCCAGUCCUGCAGAACAUGUUUUAAGGAAAUUUCCUUUCUGUAAGCUCCAAUCUCCUAAGACACCAUUAAACAGCAACAACAAGUUCUGUGGAAGGACAGACAGCUACAGGCAGCAGAUACUUCCAUCCUGCAGGUCCCACAGGUUGUCUUCUGAGGAUGCUGUCUCACAUCUUCGGCUGGGUCAGAACAGGGUAUUUUGCAUCUUCCACACCAGCAGCACCAUAAUCAUUGUGAUUUCUUCUACAAGUUCCUAG
rnacentral:lncRNA from 1 species